AAUCUGCAUAGAGGAAUGACAGGCAUCCGCUGGGCAGGAUCCGCCUCGCCGGCUGCGGCCGGCCGGGCUGGGAGACCCGCGCCGGGGAGAGGGCGAGGGAAUCCGGCGGGCAGCUCCGCGCAGCCGGGAAAUGAGCGCUUGGAAACCUGCCUGCGGACGGACCCAUGCUCGAAGGACCAAAGGAGCCGCGUGAUCGCCAGACCUGGCCCCGCGACCCCGGACAUGGGUCAGACCUCGGUCUCCGCGCUGUCCCCGCAGCCCAGCAGCGUUGAUGGACUGGACAAAGCUUCUGUAGCAAAUUCGGAUGGCCCAACAGCAGGCUCCCAAACGCCUCCCUUCAAGAGAAAGGGGAAACUCUCCACCAUCGGUAAAAUCUUUAAGCCUUGGAAAUGGAGGAAAAAGAAGACCAGUGACAAAUUUAGAGAAACCUCAGCAGUAUUAGAAAGGAAGAUAUCCACAAGACAAAGUAGAGAGGAGCUGAUAAGAAGGGGCGUUCUUAAGGAGUUGCCUGAUCAAGAUGGAGAUGUAACAGUUAACUUUGAAAAUUCAAACGGGCACAUGAUACCCAUCGGAGAGGAAUCUACCCAAGAGGAAAAUGUAGUAAAAUCUGAAGAAGGUAAUGGCUCUGUAGCUGAAAAAUCACCACCUCUGGAGGAAAAGGCAGAAGAUAAGAAAGAGAACACUGAAAACCACUCUGCAACACCAGCAGCUCCUGUUCCGUCUCCUCCAGCUCUUCCUAAGCCUAAACCCAAACCUAAGCCCAAAAAAACACCUGUGCCUCCAAAAGGGGCUGCUGCCGGGGCAAGCCCCAAGGGUGACGAAGUGCCUCCUAUUAAAAAAAUUACCAAGGCUCCUGGUAAGCAGGCCCCCGUCCCUCCACCCAAGCCAACGAGCCGAAACACGACCCGAGAGGCUGCUGGUUCCUCUCAUUCAAAAAAAACAACUGGGUCCAAAGCAUCAGCUUCACCAUCUACUUCCUCCACCUCGUCUCGUCCCAGAGCUUCAAAGGAGACACUUUCUAGCAAAACAGGGACAGUGGGAAUCACAAAGGGCAAGAAAAAAACUGGCAAGCAGCCAGCCUCUCGCCCAUCCUUGGAUGCAACCACUUCUGGCACAUCUGACCUUAAAGGAGAACCUUCUGAGACGAGGGUGGAGAGUCUCAAGCCUGAGCAGACUGUCCCUGGGACCGAUGAGCAGACCACAGGCAAAUCUAAGUCUGCAGUCCCUCCACCUCCUGUGGCUCCUCCACCUCCUCUCCCCGCCCCUCCUCUUCCUCAUGAGGAGCAGUGUGCUUUUGCCUCAGACACUCCUGUUGUCCUGGUCAGCAAUGGAGCUGACCUGCCCGUCCCUGCCUUAGACCCAAGUCAGCUUCUCUGGACCGAAGAGCCCACCAACAGAACCACUGUCCUCUCAGGCACUGGCUUAAGUGUUAGCAGAGAAAAUGCAAAAUGCCCUGCCCCAGGAAUGUCACAGGCUACUGGAGAAGAUGACAUCGGUCCUACUGACAGUUUUACAACCAAAGAUGAGCCGGGAAAGGUGGCAGCUCAGCUACUGAUUCCUGGGCUGACGGGAGAAUCUUCAGAAUCCUUCAGUGCCCCUGAGGAUGAAGGCCAGAGGGAGGCCCAGGCCAAUGACUCGGACUCUGAUGGGCCUGUCUUGUACACUGAUGAUGACGAUGAUGAAGAGGAGGAGGAGGAUGGCAGUGGAGAAAGUGCUUUGGCGAGUAAAAUACGACGAAGGGAUACUCUUGCUAUCAAACUUGGCAACAGACCAUCAAAGAAGGAACUAGAGGACAAAAACAUCUUGCAGCGCACAUCUGAAGAGGAGAGGCAGGAGAUCCGACAGCAAAUUGGAACCAAGCUCGUCAGGAGACUUAGCCAGAGGCCCACGACUGAAGAAUUAGAGCAAAGAAAUAUCCUAAAACAAAAGAAUGAAGAAGAAGAACAAGAAGCAAAAAUGGAACUUAAGCGCAGACUCAGCAGAAAGCUCAGUCUGAGACCCACAGUGGCGGAGUUACAAGCUCGAAGGAUCCUGCGGUUUAAUGAGUAUGUAGAAGUCACCGAUUCUCCCGACUACGACCGCCGGGCAGACAAGCCCUGGGCCAGGUUAACACCUGCAGACAAGGCAGCUAUAAGGAAAGAACUAAAUGAAUUUAAAAGCACAGAAAUGGAAGUUCAUGAAGAGAGUCGACAGUUUACAAGUAUCUUUUAGAUAGCUGUCUGGCAUUGCAGUGCAUUCUGGGGCCAUGUAACAAGAGGACUAGUGGUGCCUAUGAGACUUCAUCCUGUGGCCUGAGAGGUUUCACCGUCCGUAACGAAGCGUGAGACUCUUUGGAAACAUAGACUGAUCAUCUUUGGGGGAAGCCUCUCUUCCCGAAAACCUGAUAUUGCACUGGGAUUUGCGUGUGUGUGUUUCCCUUUAACUGGUGAAGGAAGUGUAUGGAAAGUGCUCCCCACCUUCAUGGCCCAGACGGGGCCAACAAGCAAAGGGAGGGGUGCAGUGACUGCUGUCCAGCAUGUGUAUUGAUGGUAAGCAACACCGUGGUCACACCAGUUAUUCUCCAUAAGGAGUUUUAAUCAAAGAAGAUGAGCAGAAGACAAUCGCUGGCUCCCUGUUACCAGAAAGCCAAAUUGUAGAGUGCAGGUUGAAGAGAAAUCGGGGCCUGGAGUUGCUGGGCACUAGAAAGGGGUGGGGGUGGAAAAUCAGAAAAAAAAAAAAAAGAGAGAGAGAGAAAUAUUUCAUUAUGUUAAUGAAGAAAAGAGAAAAUCAAAGCAUAAAUAUUUUUGAAGAAGGCUUUUGGUAGCUGAGAACCUAUUAAGAUAUGGGAAUCUAAUCACCUAACGUGGAUUCCUUAAAGACCUGAUCCUAGAAGAAUAUUCUCGUUUCACCGUUAUGUUGGUGCAGUAUAGUACCAUUAUUUUAUGUUGUGCCAGUGAAUCCAAUUGCCAGAAAUACGUCUGAGUGUUUUCGUGCAUCUUUUUCUUAAAUGCAAGAGACUUUUAUUGACUCUUAACAAGCAUGCCUGCCCAAAUUUUGUUGCAUGUUUUAAGUAGCAUAGCUAUACACACUUUUUUUUUUAUACUCCUUAUCUAAUGUACCAAACUUCUACAAGGAUAACAGGACUGGGAAUAAAGUCAGAUGAAUGUGAUCCUGUAAAUCUGUAGGAAGCUUUAGAAAAUAAAUCUUUUGGUCUUUCCCUAGCUUGGUUAUCUUCAGAGUUGAAGCAACCAUACUUGAUCUAAGGAAGAUAAUAUUGACAAUCAAAACACCUUUCUAAAAAAUCUGAGUCCAAAGUAAAAACUUAAGCAAAUGCAAGUGUUCUGCCAGCAGUUAGUUCUGAGUGGGCAUGGAAAGGACUACUUAUUUUCAGGGCUGCAUUAAGUUGGAUUGCUGCUAUUAAAAAAAAAAAUUAAGUACAUGGAUCAAAAACAUACCCGAAGGCUUAGAAGAACACAGAAAGUUUCUGCUAAGUUCCAAGUGAGGAAUUUUGUAUUUUAAGAGUCUGCAGACUGCAUCCAUAAAUAUAGCAUUGACUUGCAAUGCAAAAGAAUCAGUGAGAUUAAAGUCAUGGAAGGUUUCUCUGUGAGCCUAGAGUCAGUAUUGUUUACAUUAAGAAACCCUCAAUUGCCAUCUUGCGAUUUUCCGUGGAGUCGCAAGCACAGCGUGGCUUCUGCUCCCAAAUACAUAUGAUCAGAUGUAAAUACUACCUUGCAUUCGAUUGUUCUUUCAUGAUUGUUUUGUGCUCCUUUUAUUAAAAACACGUGAGACCUAAAAUAACAAGACAAGACCUAGUAGACUUUAUUUUAUUCGCAGAGCUUGGGCUAGAAUUUUCUGAAAUGCUUCUGGUUCAUGAUAUGGAAGACUGUAAUUUGCGAUUUCAACCAAAAAAGCAAACAUUUAAUCUGGUGGAUAAGUUUGGAUCCUGUCAGUCAUGUAUAUUCUGUAGAACCACUUGAAAUGGGGUGAUUUUGCUUAAAAUUAAAAAGUUUUGGCCCCAACUGGCCUGUUAGAAAAAGCCAGGACCAUUUUAUGUCUAAGAAAAGUAAGCAGCAUUGCUGCACCUUUUGCUGCACUGGGCUAUCUGUGUAAUAAACCCAGAUUCUGCACUGUCGUCAUUUCAUUACUAGUAUAAGAUGUACUUUUCUUUUGAAAAAAAUGUUCUGCAUGCCCAAGUGUCUUUCUCCGGCUGAAAGGUUUUGUCCAUUUCAUAGUGUUCAAAUCCAACCACGGACAUUAACUUUGUUCUCAUUUUUUUGCCGAAGCCUUCCUUUUCCUUAUAAUACUAUUAUGUUAUCGUUGUUGUGUCUUGGGAAAAAGUCCAAGGAAUGUAAUGUUAUUUUAAUUUUCUAUACUUAAAAUCUUAAAAUGUUGUCAUAAUUUUUAAUCACGAGGCCUCUAUAAAAUGGUAAAUGUAAGACAUUAUCACUGUUUUAGCAUUCAAGGUACAGGUCAUAGAAAGUCUCUACUUGGUUGAUAAAAGGAGCAGUUUUUUUCCCCACUCAUGGUGCAUGUGAUGCAGGUUUUUUUAUUCCCUACAAUGAGAUGCACCCAGUACAAAGAUGAGACUCCCGUCCUUCAAUAUACGGUUUUGCUUGUAUGGUAUGUCAGAUUUAUGAACUACCCACACUUUUUUCUUCAUACCGAUUGACACAUUUAGAGAAAAGUUUAAAAGAGCAAAAUCAAAAAGUCAAAAAUGUUACCACUGCUAGUCUGCUAUUUAGGAAUUGAAAGCACAUUAUCAUUAGAAUGAUUCUUUAAAUAAAAAGCUAUGAAAAGAGGGGCACCUGGGUGGCUCAGUUGGUUAAGCAACUGCCUUCGGCUCAGGUCAUGAUCCUGGAGUCCCAGGAUCGAGUCCCGCAUCGGGCUCCCUGCUCAGCGAGGAGCCUGCUUCUCCCUUUGACCCUCCCCUUUCUCAUGUACUCUCUCUCUCUCUCAUUCUCGCUCUCUCAAAUAAAUAAAUAAAUCUUUAAAAAAAAAAAAAAGCUAUGAAAAGAAUCGAAGGAUUGUGAGGUAACCUGUAUUUUUCAGAAUAAGGCUCUGUGUUCCUAGCUAAUUUUUAAAAGGUGGAAACACUGCAUAUUCACCCAGCAGCCCAUCCAGGUCUCUUGCCUGGCAUCCCUAACGAUGUGGACCACCCUCCAUCUAAUUAGGCCUCUGCCCAAUGCCAGCAUUUCUGCUGUCCAACCAGUAAGCUACAGUUCUAUGAGAAAAAUAAAUGUGUGUGUGAAUUGGGCUGUUGUAACACAAUACCAGGCUUUUCCCUAUUUAAAGUGAGACAUUAGGCUGACAUAGAGGAAGUGAAUGAGUUUUCCUGAGUCCCCAAGAUAUGAUUAGGGUAGGAAACAAACCCAUAUCCAGGAAGAUCUCAGGCAGGAAGGAACCAGACAGACUGUAAAACACAAAGUGGCCAUUUCUGUCUUUUUUGAAAUGGAGCAAAAGAACAUUAAGGUAGUAAGGAGACACCAUGGGCAUUAUCAGCAUCUUUGUGGUCUGAUGAAAUUAGUCCUCUAAUGAGCAUUAAUUUAAGGCAACCCUGCCUGAUAAUUCUCUGUGUAUGUGAAAUGUCUUGGCAUUUUUUAUGUUUGAUAUAAUUUACCUUUAUGUUAAUUCCUUAAAUUAUUUAAACUAAAUCUAUAAUAUUCAGAGAGCCAUGUGGGGUAUUGGAAUAGCUGUUUUAAGUGGAGGAAAAAGCAAACUCAUCUAUCUCUCGGAUUUACCGAGAAAAACAGACUUUCUUUUUUUGUUUUCAUGUCCUUUAUUAGCAUAAUGAUUGUAGUCACUUAUCUUUUUCUAAUGUUAGUAAAUAUGUUCUGUUAGAAAGUUUUGAAAUGUAAGUGAAAACCUAUUUAAGACAGUAAAGGAAUUGACUACACCCUUCAAAAAUCAUCAGAUAUUGAAAAUGAGAGAUAAUUUCCUAGAACCCAUAAUUUGGGUUUCACAUCCCUACAAUAUUUCCGUGCUAUGUUGGUACUUUGAAAAAAUCCAGUAGCUUACACUUAAAAGUGAAAAAACUCUGCAUAUCCUGAUAUGGACCACAUUUUAAGAUAUAACAGGCAUUGUAUUUAUACUCAAUAGUCAUCAGACAGCUUUCAAAAAUGAUACUGUAUUCACAAUAGAAAAAGUCUCAUCUACCACAUAGUAGCAUGUACACAUUUAAAGAGUGAAAUCUCUCUUUUCCUCCUUCUUGCUCAAAAAUUUCUUUAGUUUAUUAUUUUUUAAGUGGUCCCAGCAGCACAUUAAACACAGUGAGAGAAGUCUUCCUCAAAAUAGGUGAGAUGGAAGAUAUGCUCAUUUCUGUCAUUUCAUCAGUACAGUAGCUGAAGCAUCCCUAAAUUCCAGUCAUGUUAUUAGCCCUAACCUUACUAGUGAAGGUAUAUAAUUUGAGACAAGAACUAAUUUCUUCACAUCAUUAGAGUAUGAUGUGAGCAGUAAGGUACCACUAAGAUGUAAUUUAUGUACGGAGUUGACCCUUGGCUUCUUGAUAUAGGUUAUGUUCCACUAUUGAGCAUUUGGUGUCUUCUUAUUGACGGGAUAUGUCACAUUAUUUUGCUUGGCAAAGCAGAAUGAGCUUUCUGGAACUGAAAUAUGUCCAAGAGGGGAAUGCAAUGGCAAAAGUCACCAUCACAUUAAUAGGACCAUCUUUCUGAGAGAAAGCUCAUCUUUAGGUAGUUCAAAUCCAAGGUUCAAAGAGCAGCAUGAGGAACUACUCUUAAUUUGGCAGUGACCAAAAGGUGGUGGGAACAAAGGUAGAAUAUUCCCAAACCAGUUCUCAUUUUCACUUUCCCUUUAUUUUGGGUAAUAAUUAAGCUUAAGUUCUAUAUGAAAAUGGGAACCACCAUUAGCAUAUCUGGAAAACAUUGGAAGCAGAGUUCACAAGGUCAUUCCAAAUUAAGAAAUCCCACUACAUAUUCUGUAAGAUUUCUGGCAAAAAGAAAAUAAAGUAUGAAAUGAAAUAAAAUAAAAAUAAAAUAAAAUAAAAUAAAAUAAAAUAAAAUAAAAUAAAAUAGAAUCCUGUGGCUGUUAUUCUCACCAAAAGCCAACCUUGUAGGCAGGGGUCAUUUUUAGCCAUGCUAGGUUUUACUGCAGUGUCACUCAGCUUGCUGUGUUGCUGACACAAACUGCACCCCUAUGAACACCGUGCUGUUGAUCAGUGUUUUGGGGAGGGGGUGCUGUUGGCAUUUGGAGCUGGGCAGUUCUUUGUUUACAGAAAUGUCCCCUACAUUGCAAGCUGUUUUAUAUCCUAAGCUCAUGCUGACUAAAUGCCAGUAGCAUGCCCAGUCACCGUAAAAACACCAAAAGUCAGAAGCGCUCCCCCAUGUUCAAAGGCCCUCCUAAGGCGGUACCACCUCCCUUGAGUACCACUGUCUGCUGCAAUUUGAGGACACACAGGGAAGAGUACCUCUUUCAAAACAUCAUCUGGACUGCCUUGCACUACUUUGGGCCCUGAAUAGUUCCUUCCCCCUUUAUUUUCCAAGCCUUCUGCUUCAGUGAAGCUUUAAUUUGCCAGUUCUUCAGGGAGGAGGGUGCUGGGCAGCCUUGGCCGUUUCAGUUGGCAUCGUCACUUGGCUGGUCCAUGUAUGUACUUACAGGAGAAAUUUCAAAUGAAGCAAACUUUUUUUCCUCUGUUUUGGCCUCACAGUUUUACCUAAGAACUACACUGUUGGUUACCGUCUUUGUCAGGGUCUUGAGGAUUAUUGCAUGGCUUAAUCACAAAUACAGCUAACAAUCCACGUAACAAAACUGGCGAUCCAUGAAAAUCACCGUUAGAUUUUCUCCUGGUAAGGUACAUCCCUUGAGGUUCAAAGCUAUCACCUAUUGAUCCUGUUAAAGAAGCAUUUAAUCCACUUGUAAGUGCUUGAAUUCUCCCUGUAACUGUAGUCAUGCAGUUCAACUUUUCUAAAAUUUGUCAAUACUAAAUUAUGAAGGAAGCGUGGAUUAACUGGAUUGCAUGCCUGUUGUUCAUACUUCAUUGAUGGUCAUACACAAAAUAAGAUGAUUUUACCUAGUUGAAACAUUGUGGAACUACGCUAAUGAUACAUAAACAUACUUUUGCUCUGUUGCUUUUUAUCACCAAAACUGAAUGGUGAAUAUGUCUUGAAAUGAUUUGGAUGAACUGUGGCUAAUAGAAUGGAAGAAUUUAGCCACUGUAAUUUUCCAAAUACUAAAAUGUCUAAGUAUCUUUUUCGAGACAGAGCAACUCAGAGUUGAUAAAAGAGGUUAUAUUGUGAAUUUUUAGAUGGUGCUUAAGAAUUCUUAUCUUGUUAAAUACCAGUAUUUUUUUUUUUCUUUUUAAGAAUAAAUUAAAGGGAGUAAAUGAGGCAGAAUGCCACUCCACCCUCAGGUCAAUUUCAUGGUAUAUUAAAAUGCCAAUAAUAUUUGUGCCACUUGCCAAUUUGGGGGACUCUUGCCAUACUGGAUGCUUUUGUUAUAGUUUGUAUCAUUACAUUGCUUAGAGAGCCUUCACAAAAAGAUGUCACCUUUGCAGUGCUAACUAGCAUUUGAAAACAAUCUGAAUAAAUCUAGGGUCAAACCACUUACAUUACUUAAAAUAUAGGCACUAAUUUUUAUUUUCAUUUUUUUAAAUAUUUCUUCUGUGGCUUAGAAAUGUGCCAAUGUGUUCAAAACAUUCUGCACCAGUUUCACCAGAUUUAGUACCUAGCAAAAACUCAAACUUGUCAUUUUUUUCUAUGUAAUAGUGAUUUUUAAAUCAAGAACUAUACACAUUCGUUUGUUAUUUUAGUCUUUGGUUAAAGUGAUUAAGAAUGGUAAGCUGUGAUCAUUAUCAGACUGACGGAAUGAUUCCUAAUUUCCAGUAAGUGAUCUAAUUCUACAUAUUACACAGGUACAAUAUCUGUGAGUGUAAAUAACUGGAACUGUACACUGAUUAACAUGACAGUUUCUCUUUUUUUGUUGUUCUUGGUCUGUACUGUAUUAUAGUAUGUCGGUAUAAAUACCUACAAGUAUACACAGAUAUGUAUAUGUAUUCCACUAUUGUAACCUGAAAGACAGACUAUGUAUUAUCUUUUUUAUUCCUUACUGGUGUUUGUGUUAUUUAAAAAGCAAAAAUUAUGCUCUAUUUAGUUGUAUAAUAUUAUAGGAUCUUUGCUGUGCACAAUUCCAAGUGCCUUAGAACAUGGUUUAGCUUUCUUAAGUAUAUAUAAAUGCAUAUAUGUAUAAAAUUGGGAAAAGUUACCUCAAUAAAAUCAUUGGGAAAUCCCCAA